AUUGAACGCUGGCGGAAUGCUUUACACAUGCAAGUCGAACGGCAGCACGGGGGCAACCCUGGUGGCGAGUGGCGAACGGGUGAGUAAUACAUCGGAACGUGCCCAGUCGUGGGGGAUAACUACGCGAAAGCGUGGCUAAUACCGCAUACGAUCUACGGAUGAAAGCGGGGGACCGCAAGGCCUCGCGCGCUUGGAGCGUCCGAUGGCAGAGUAGGUAGUUGGUGGGGUAAAGGCCUACCAAGCCGACGAUCUGUAGCUGGUCUGAGAGGACGACCAGCCACACUGGGACUGAGACACGGCCCAGACUCCUACGGGAGGCAGCAGUGGGGAAUUUUGGACAAUGGGCGCAAGCCUGAUCCAGCCAUUCCGCGUGCAGGAUGAAGGCCCUCGGGUUGUAAACUGCUUUUGUACGGAACGAAACGGUGCUCUCUAAUACAGGGCGCUAAUGACGGUACCGUAAGAAUAAGCACCGGCUAACUACGUGCCAGCCGCCGCAGUAAUAC
rnacentral:rRNA from 1 species